CGUGUUUCUGGAGACAUUCGAUUCGAUAAAAUUGGAACGAUAGAGAAAAUUAGCAUGGCCCCUGCGCAAGGAUGACAUGCACAAUUUGAGAAAUGGUCGAAUUUUUU
rfam:Citrus sinensis cultivar Ridge Pineapple sweet orange scaffold05005_contig_1, whole genome shotgun sequence.